rnacentral:rRNA from 1 species
GUCAGCAGCUCUAUCACCCUGCAACUCACAACUGGCAACCCACUGAAACUAAGCAGGUGUGAGCCUGGUCAGUACCUGGAUGGGAGACUCCUGGGAAAGCUCAUGUUGCUGCUGGAA